ACUCGAUGCCAGCGGCAAGAAGGACAACGUCUCCGGACGUAUCGCCGCGAUGUAUCAGGACAUGCCGACCCCGGGUCGCGACAAUGUCGGCGUCAAGCGCUGGGGUGUCGCGCCGUCGAUCAAGGUCGAUCUGAAUCCGGAAACGCGGGCGAUCAUCAGCUACAUCUAUCAGGGCGAGGAAAGCGUUCCGGAUUACGGCGUGCCGUAUCUUCCUGCCCCAGUGCGGAAUUCAGCUGGUGCGCUGACAAGC
rnacentral:misc_RNA from 1 species